GAAAUGCGAUAAGUAGUGUGAAUUGCAGAAUUCAGUGAAUCAUCGAAUCUUUGAACGCACAUUGCGCCCUUUGGUAUUCCAAAGGGCAUGCCUGUUCGAGCGUCAUUUGUACCCUCAAGCUUUGCUGGGUGUUGGGCGUCUUGUCUCUAGCUUUGCUGGAGACUCGCCUUAAAGUAAUUGGCAGCCGGCCUACUGGUUUCGGAGCGCAGCACAAGUCGCACUCUCUAUCAGCAAAGGUCUAGCAUCCAUUAAGCCUUUUUUCAACUUUUGACCUCGGAUCAGGUAGGGAUACCCGCUGAACUUAAGC
rnacentral:misc_RNA from 1 species